GACGAACGCUGGCGGCGUGCCUAAUACAUGCAAGUCGAGCGAAGCUGUUUUAACUGGUGCUUGCACCGACUUAAACAACUGAGUGGCGAACGGGUGAGUAACACGUGGGUAACCUGCCCCAAAGCGGGGGAUAACAUUUGGAAACAGAUGCUAAUACCGCAUAACCACAGAAACCACAUGGUUUCUGUGUCAAAGAUGGUUUCGGCUAUCACUUUGGGAUGGACCCGCGGCGUAUUAGCUAGUUGGUAAGGUAAUGGCUUACAAAGGCAAUGAUACGUAGCCGGAGUGAGAGGUUGAUCGGCCACAUUGGGACUGAGACACGGCCCAAACUCCUACGGGAGUCAGCAGUAGGGAAUCGUCCACAAUGGACGAAAGUCUGAUGGAGCAACGCCGCGUGAGUGAAGAAGGUUUUCGGAUCGUAAAACUCUGUUGUCAGAGAAGAACGUGUGCGAGAGUAACUGUUCGUGCAGUGACGGUACCUGGCCAGAAAGCCACGGCUAACUACGUGCCAGCCGCCGCGGUAA
rnacentral:rRNA from 1 species